AUUGAACGCUGGCGGCAGGCCUAACACAUGCAAGUCGAACGAGUGGCGGACGGGUGAGUAAUGUCUGGGAAACUGCCCGAUGGAGGGGGAUAACUACUGGAAACGGUAGCUAAUACCGCAUACCAUCGGAUGUGCCCAGCUGGGAUUAGCUUGUAGGUGAGGUAACGGCUCACCUAGGCGACGAUCCCUAGCUGGUCUGAGAGGAUUACCAGCCACAUUGGCACUGCAACACGGUCCAGACUGCUACGUGAGGCAGCAGUGGGGAAGAUUGCACAAUGGGCGACAGCCUGAUGCAGCCAGGCCGCGGGUAUGAAGAAGUCCUUCGGGUUGUAAAGUCCUUUCUGCGGGGAGGCGUUACCCACAGAAGAAGCACCGGCUAACUCCGUGCCAGCAGCCGCGGUAAUUC
rnacentral:rRNA from 1 species